AUCUGAACACAAAUCUAUUCUGCUAAAGUGACUGAGUGUAGAGUCUUUAUUCCAGAGUUGUGCUGCUGCAGCUCCUGUAGGCCAAAGAUUCCAAGCUGAACAUCCAGAGCUGCUGAGAACAGCUGCAGAUGACUGACUCAGUGUGUUUGCAUAUGUGUGCUGCCUCUCUGCUUCCAGCAGUUAAGAGCUCAGUGUUGAUCAGUGGCUGUCCAGACCUUUCAGAGACACUGACACACCUGCAGCACAAUGAGGAUGUCACUGACUCUGCUGCUGGCUGUCCUGGAGCUCCUUGUUCAGGGUUCAUCAGGGGAAAUCACUAUGACUCAGACUCCUGGAUCUCAGUCUGUUGUUCCAGGAGAAACUUUCUCCAUUAGAUGUCAAACCAGUUCAAGUGUUUAUAGCAACAUCCAAUGGUAUCUUCAGAAAUCUGGAGAAGCUCCUAAACUCCUCAUAUAUUCUGCUUCAACCCGUCAGUCUGGAGUUUCUGAUCGUUUUAGUGGAAGUGGAUUUGGCAGUGAUUUCACUCUGACCAUCAGUGGAGUUCAGGCUGAAGAUUCAGGAGUUUAUUACUGUCAGCAGAGUGACAGCUUUCCGUUCACACAGUGACACAACGUCGUACAAAAACCUGUUUCAGCUAAAGAGGAACUGAUCUGAAUGAACAGCUGCACUGACACCGAACACAUUAAAAAUUUACAAAAACCCUUUUUUAUUAUUAAACUAUUGGUUAAAAAAAUGAAACUAUUCUUUAAUUUGACGGUUACAUUUUCAAUGAAAAAACUGUCACGUUUGGAAAACUUUUAACCCCAUUUAAAUUUGCCUUAAGACCUGCAAAGGAGGAUCUAAAGGCAGGGAUGCAUUGUUUAGUUUAGUCUGUGUAGUUUAGCAAUCAGCUAUUGAAUUCUAUGACUUUAUGUUCUUGGUGAUUCAUGUUCAUUACACUGUUACCAGUAUGAAGCCCAUUGAGACGACAAUUGUUGUAAAUAUUGGGCUAUAUAUGUAAAAUUGCAUUAAAUUGAAUUUCUAUAAUGAACAUUAAACUGUUGUUCAAAGUAAUUUUUAAAGCUAAAAGUACUGAUAUUGUGCUGUCUUAUCAGUAAAUGAUGGAGGAAACUGAGGGUUAAGAUAGAGUGGCAAUGUGAGAGAUAGUUUUUGGAAUUCAAGGUGCUGUUUGAGUUGAGUCCAUAUCUGUAAACAAUCCUUAACUAUGAUGUUAUCGGUAUAAGAUGUGAGAGAUAGUUUGAGAGGAAAACACAAAAGAGAGAGUAGAGUAGC